ACCGGCGCACGGGUGCGUAACGCGUAUGCAACCUACCUUCCACAGGGGGAUAGUCAAUAGAAAUGUUGAAUAAUACCCCAUACGAUCUAAAGAUCACCUGAUCAAUAGAGGAAAACUCCGGUGGUGGAAGAUGGGCAUGCGUCCUAUUAGUUAGUUGGUGAGGUAACGGCUCACCAAGACUACGAUAGGUAGGGGUCCUGAGAGGGAGACCCCCCACACUGGUACUGAGACACGGACCAGACUCC
rnacentral:rRNA from 1 species